GGCUCACAGCAGAGGAGCCUGAUGUGGGGCUCGAUCCCACAACGCCGGGAUCACGCCCUGAGCCGAAGGCAGACGCUUAACGACUGAGCCACCCAGGUGCCCCCACCAUCCUGACUUCUAACACCAUCGGUUAAGUUUGCCUGUUUAGAAGUUUAUGUAAACUGAACUACAUGUAAUUAUUCCGCCAGACCCCUCCAGAGAUGUAAAACCCUACUCUACAAGGUCAAAGGAAUCAGAGGGAGAGAUCAUAAGCACAAGCAGGGGGAGCGGCAGGCAGAGGGAGAAGCAGGCU